rnacentral:lncRNA from 1 species
GUGCGGACAUGGCGCCACCUGGCCCUUCAGCAAGGCAACCACAUGAUGCUGCUCAUACUCCAAUUCGUCUAAGUCCCUUUAAAAUGGGAUCCAGAAACUGGACAGCGGGCUGCAAGGGUCUUUCUCAUUUUACCACCGUCCAAACGUCAAGCCCAUUAGUUCUUCUCUCUCCGCCAUCCUUGUUACCCGCGGUUACAAGGACAAGCUGCAGCUGUUCAGUAAGCUUAACUGGUGGUGAUAAAGUGUUGUAGCAGGCAAAUGUCUGACACAUCUGUUCAGCAAGUCCAUAACCCUACAGCUGAGUUUACGAAACUAUAGAUUCAAGUAACUUUAAAGUGAAUUUGAAUUCACUCUGUAAAAACCGACUUAGAUAACUCAAACGGGAGAGCUUUCUGGAUCACGCCGCCCAUGGAGCUCGGGGAGCUGACCAGAGAUUUGCAUCUGGGAUGUAAGGAUUUCAAAUCUAGAGGUUUAAACCACCAUGGAUUAUACUAGCCAUCUGUGUGGUUCGGAAUAACGCAAUCUGGCGAACCCAACCCCUUUCUAACUCCAUAUUCCAAGUAGUUGAAUGUACACUGGAGAUGUGAUUUGAGCUCUUUUUCCCCUCACAUUUUCUAACUAUGUUUUUAUCUGCAGUAGACAACUAGGUCAGAAGAGAGGGACUCAGCUGUUAUUAUAAAGGUCCCAGAUAGAGUUUCAGCAUCACAAAAAUGCCAAGUAAGGAAGUCUCUUCUAUAGUUAAGCAAGAAGCAGUUCAACAGAGGAUAGCUCUGUUUAAACAAGCAUUCAUAUAUUAUAGGUACG